rnacentral:rRNA from 1 species
CUACGGGAUGCAGCAGUGAGGAAUUUUGCGCAAUGGGCGAAAGCCUGACGCAGCAACGCCGCGUGAGUGAUGAAGGCCUUCGGGUCGUAAAGCUCUGUCAAGUGGGAAGAACCUAUGUAAUGUUAAUAUCAUUAUAUACUGACGGUACCACUGAAGGAAGCACCGGCUAGCUCCGUGCCAGCAGCCGUGGUAAUACGGGGGGUGCAAGCGUUAUUCGGAAUCAUUGGGCGUAAAGGGCACGUAGGCGGCCUGGUAAGUCAGAUGUGAAAGCCCGGGGCUUAACCCCGGAAGUGCAUUUGAUACUGUCAGGCUUGAGUAUGGGAGAGGGAAGUGGAAUUCCUGGUGUAGAGGUGAAAUUCGUAGAUAUCAGGAGGAACACCGGUGGCGAAGGCGACUUCCUGGACCAAUACUGACGCUGAGGUGCGAAGGCGUGGGUAGCAAACAGGAUUAGAUACCCCUGUAGUC